GUGGAUGACACAGAGAUGAAUAAAACACUAUUUUUGCUCUAUAUGCUAGAAGUCUGAAAGAAGGAAGAUGGACAAUUACAAUAGAAGGAAGAUUUAAUCACAUAAAGGAUGAAUAAGAUUGAAUUGCGACCAUAAAAAAAAAACCUGACAACAUACAUUGAGAAUGAAUGGAGAUAAAAUGAUGAUUUUGCCUGGCAAUUCUACCGAUGUUUGAAGAUGCUAUGCUGGUUACCAUGGAGACCAAAAGGCCAAUGCAAAUUUUUCUUGGGUAUUCAGAUCAAGGUUUUCUUGAAAUAUUGAAGUGGAAAUGAAGGCCAGCUGAAGAGCUUGCGUAUUCAAAGCUGAGUUCUAAUGGGGUGAUGUUCAGUUAGCAAGGACAAAGAACAUUUGCAAAACUAGCUCUGGUGAGUUUUAGGAAGUAUUUUUAAAAUAUGAAGUAGGAUAAGCAACAGAGCUUUACAGAGCAACUGGA
rnacentral:lncRNA from 1 species